rnacentral:rRNA from 1 species
UACGAAGGGGGCUAGCGUUGCUCGGAAUCACUGGGCGUAAAGGGUGCGUAGGCGGGUUUUAAGUCAGAGGUGAAAUCCUGGAGCUCAACUCCAGAACUGCCUUUGAUACUGAAGAUCUUGAGUUCGGGAGAGGUGAGUGGAACUGCGAGUGUAGAGGUGAAAUUCGUAGAUAUUCGCAAGAACACCAGUGGCGAAGGCGGCUCACUGGCCCGAUACUGACGCUGAGGCACGAAAGCGUGGGGAGCAAACAGG